rnacentral:rRNA from 1 species
AUUGAACGCUGGCGGCAUGCUUUACACAUGCAAGUCGAACGGCAGCGCGGGCUUCGGCCUGGCGGCGAGUGGCGAACGGGUGAGUAAUACAUCGGAACGUGCCCAGUAGUGGGGGAUAGCUCGGCGAAAGCCGGAUUAAUACCGCAUACGACCUGAGGGUGAAAGCGGGGGAUCUUCGGACCUCGCGCUAUUGGAGCGGCCGAUGGCAGAUUAGCUAGUUGGUGGGGUAAAGGCCUACCAAGGCGACGAUCUGUAGCUGGUCUGAGCGGACGACCAGCCACACUGGGACUGAGACACGGCCCAGACUCCUACGGGAGGCAGCAGUGGGGAAUUUUGGACAAUGGGCGAAAGCCUGAUCCAGCAAUGCCGCGUGUGUGAUGAAGGCCUUCGGGUUGUAAAGCACUUUUGGCGGGAACGAAAAGGACUGUGCCAAUACCACGGUUCGAUGACGGUACCCGCAGAAUAAGCACCGGCUAACUACGUG